CAAACCCAAAAUAAGAAAAGAAUCUCUCCCUAAUAUCAUUAUCUCUCCUCUCUUCUCUCUUCUCUCUUCGGCCGCAGGUCUCCGAUGGCGCCGUUGACUCAGUCUGUCCUCAGCCUCCUCUCCGCCGCUUUCCUCCUUGGCUUCCUCUCUGAUCCGGCCGCUGCUCGUCCCUGCAAAACCCUUUUCAUCUCCUCCUACUCCGUAUCCUUCCACCCCAAUUUCCCCGAUCAAAAUAACCCUAACUCCGCAGGCACCGCCGGAAUUCUCACGAUUUUCACUGAGAUCCGGCAAUUUAACCCCCGUCCGCCGCUCACCUUCGUCGACGCCGUCGAGGAUCAGCACCCGAUCGAGCGUCCGCCGCGAUUUGGCCUCGGUCUAGGGUUCGACUCCGACUCCCUCCGCGACCGCACCAAGGACGUGCUCAGCGUUGUUGUGGCGCUGCUCUUCGGCGUCGGCUGUGGCGCUCUCACCGCCGCAACCAUGUACUUGGGUUGGUCGCUCUUCUCCAACCGCCACCGCUACUCCGACUUCGAUUACGAUGACUUUGAGGAUGAUGACGUUGACAUGAGCCCUAAGAAGGUGGGCUAUGUGAGGAUCCCUCCUCCUGCUGAUGCCUCUACUCCCGUGGCAAAAGAGGCGGUAUGAGGCACAGAAAAAUUAGGGUUUUAAUGCUUAAUGCCUAGUGUUUUGCGUUUCUGAACCAGGUGCUAUUUGCUAUGUUAUUAUGAAUUAUAUUGCUAAAAAUGUGGGUACUUAUAUGGUUUUGUGUUUCUCAAUCACAUCUAUAACUAUGCUUUGUGUAUAUUUAUCAUCUAAUACAUUGAAUGCUUGUUUUAUUUAAUUUUUUUCUUUCGCUUGGGCUUCGAUUAUUUGGAAGGAAAAAUUGUUCUCUGACAUAUGUUCGAUUAAUCUUCUUUUUUUUUUUGUAUGAGAAGCUUUUUGGUUGAAACAAAUGGGGCCUUGGUCUGGUUUCUUUUAUUUAAUUGCAGGUUGUAUACCUUAAGGUUGAUGGUGCGGUGAUUUUGUAGUUUUCCUAAAGUUGAUGAUUGCGUAAUUUUGCCCUUUUGUCGGAGUUUGUUGUAGUAGAUGAUGUUGUGAUUUUGUAGUUUUGCACGAAUGAUCGACUACUUUUUUCCAUUAUCUUUAUGUGUUGUGACCAAAUUUUUAACAUGCUUGAUUUUCAGCAAGUGUUUGUGAAAAUAGCAAGAUUUUGGCCAUAGGCUGUUUCAGGGAAGGGGAUUGCAUUUUCAUUUUAGUUUUCAUUCUUUUGCUUUACUCCCUUUAGCAGGUGAAGUAGUGACCAUGCGUCCUUUUGUUUUCCAUAAUGAGAUUGACUUGUAUUGAGAUAUAGCUAUUGGAUAUAUAUUUUUCGGGCACUUAAUAAUAUUAUGUUCAAUCUAUUGAUGAAAUUUAGUAAUAUAUAUAUAUAUAUAUAUAUACAUAUAUAUCUCAUAUGGAAAAUUGACACGACAUUGUCUUGUCAACACUUAUUGAUGGAACUGUUUUUCACUAAAAAAUUCCCGAGGCUGUACUCAUUUUUCUGGAGCUGCAACCACUCUCCAACUAUCAAAUGCCUCUUUCAGCUUCGAUUUAGAACUUAACUUUCUAAUAAGAGAUUUUUGUUGCAUAGAAACUUAAGGAUGGAUUCCUUAUGUUGCAUGAGCAUUCAAGGCAGAUCUUCAAAUCAACUUGGCUAUCAUUUUUCAAUUAUUUUUUUUAUGCUUUAUUUUACUUUUUAAAGAAAUUAUAUUAAUUUCCUUGUCUUUAUGUGGUAUAAAUGACCAGGAUUAUAAAAGAUUGAUAUAUUUUUAGUAAUGAGGAGCCUACAUUAUAUAUUAACAUAGGCUUCGAAUUGAAUUAAAGGCCUUUCUAGAAUCAGGGGUAGGAUUAUGUAUGGGAUAGUGUUCUUUCUAGGAAGAUUACUGUUCUUUCUAUUUUAGUUUUUUUUUUCUUUGGGGGGUUGGUUUGGUCGAGUAUUCUUCUGGUUUUGUACUUGUUUUCCUUCUUUGCAUCACCUCUAGUAGUCUUGUAUCUUGCAAUAGCAUCCCAAAUUCACAAUUACAUGUUUGGUGAUUUUCAUGUGGCUUUGCAUGUGUGGUUCCUAGUAGGAACAUUAGAAGGAAAGUGGCCAAUCUUUUUGACAGACCUGGUAAUACUGUAAUGAAGAGAAACAAAUAGAAAGGAGUAAAAGGAAAUCAACAAACACCUUGGUGUCAAUGUAACAUAGUAACUUUCCAUGACCAUACAGUAAAUCCGGUAAUCUUUCGGGGGUUUUAGCAUGUCCAUGAACUGUCUUAAAAUUCUAGAGUGGGACUUCCAGUUCAAGAUAAUGGCAAAAGUAACAGAAUGAUGUUAAGUGAAGUACUAACUGACUUGGAACUUCAUUGUCGUGGCUCCCUAAUUAUUAGGGAGCAGGUCUUAUAGUUUUUACAGUGGAGGUUAUUAUGCUUGGGAAAGGUUUCUCUAUCAUCCAAUAGUCAAUAAGGCCUGUUUUCUUAAUAGUUAAAGUGAUGUUGAGGGAGUCCUAGAGGCAUUUGAGCUAAAGAUUGGAGAUCAUGAUCUGUUGUACAAGAUGUUUGGAAGAUGCUCAAAGAACUGAUUCAGAGAUCAGGAUAUUUCAGACCUGUCCAGAAGGCAAUAUGGUUGCAUAUUUGAAGCCAAAUUAGGCACAGCUAGCUUAGGAAUUUUAUUUGGGCUUGCGGCUUUCCAAGUGGGGUCAUUCUGCAUCUUGCCCAUGAUCUUUUAGGCUGGGCGUUUCCCCAUUCUUUUUCUGUUUGUGAUGGGAUCUGUGAAAUGGUAUUUUAUGAAAGAAGAAAAUGCGACAAGCACAUAAUGAAGCUUUGUCUUAAAAAUUCUUUGAAAUUUUUAAGGGAACCUUUGAGGCAUGGAAAUAAUUAGCUGCAGAAGGUUUCUAUGGGAUUUACAGUCACAGAAGAAUGCAUUGAAAGUAUGUUCCAUCACUCAAAUGUUUGUCAUGCUGCUUGUAAUUCUAUUUCAGCCAGGAUUCUAUUGACUAUGCAGUAAAUACAUCAUUAUGCUCCGGUUGUUGGUGCUAGAAUUCCUUAUGGGGUUUGUCCAUUCAAAUUAGAUGUUGAGAUUUUUCCUUAUAAGAGAUAUCACUGUUUUGGCACAUUCAUUAGUUUGAGGUGAUUUUGACCUUUUAAUUAAUUGUAUUUUGGGAGUGCUUCUGAUGUCAAUGCAAUUAGUGGUUUUUGAUUAUCCUGAACUUGAUAAGGAGUUGUUUACCUGUAAUUUUGCUCGAACUGUUGCUUACACCAGUUGUUCAGGGUUAAACCAGCUUUGUUUCAGUAUUUUGCUUCAUUUAGGGCCUAAAUGUAUGCCAUACCAUACAUGGGUACUUUUAGGGUAAUGCUGACAAGGAGUUAACUAAAGGCUUCACUAGUUAUUAGCCUAAUAGAAACCUUUUCCUGUGUUGCUGUUGUUUAUCUACUCUAUUAGAGAUUGGAAUCUUUACAAUCUGUCUGCUCUGUGCUAAGAAUAACUUUCUUAGAGCCAAAUGCAGAUAAAUUGAGUGGAGAGAUCUACACCUGCACUUUCUGUUUUGUUGACUGAUUCGGCCUUUCUAAAUUUCCUUCAUGGUUGAGGCAAUUUGCAAGAUAAUUUCUGAGGUGGUGGUGGGGGCCCCUUGUUCCACAAUUUCCAUGUUUGUUUCCCCCUGAUUCUAAGUUGAAGUUUAGAGUAACUGUGGUUGAGUGGGUUGUAUUUGUCUUGAAAUUCGCAAUCUGAGAUGUAAUCUGGCAAAAUAAAUACUAGAUUUAGGUAGGUGGUGAACUCAUAGCAGCUGCUAAUAAGGACUCUUGCGUUCUUUUCAGUCAACUUUUAUGUGAGGCAUUAUGGAAAACUGUCUUGAGUCUCACUGGACUUCAUUUCCUGUUUGACUAUAAACUAGACAAUUAAUUUUCCACUUGGUGAAUAGAAAAAUAUACAGGGGAAAAAUAAUUUGGAUCUAGUAUUUGCCUCAUUUCCACUGAGAAAGCACUCCUUUGGCUAGCUUUGGGGAUUUGAUGAAUGGACAAUCUAGAGAGUUGCUGUGUUCUUAAAACAUUGGAUUCAAUUUAGAAUGCUGAGAUUUGAGUGAUCUUAUGUGCUGUUGGUGGUGCUUAUGCCAAUGUAAGGGAAAUAUGAUGCAGUGUUAGGAAUAGAAUUGAGAUGUGAAUAUGCAAUAGGAUUAUAUUUUGGGAGUAUGUGUGUGGAGCAAUAUGGCUCUGAUUGUGCUGACUUCGAAUGUAGGAGGUUGUUCAAGGAAAACAGGUUUUUGUUAUGUGUUUGUCAGGGUGAAUUGAAGAGACACAAGACUCUGUUGUCAUUCUUUCCUGUAGGAUUCAGCUGCAUAACCCCUGAUCUUAGUACUAGUACUGUGCUUCUCAUUCUACUCCAGUACACAGAGUUCGAGAUUUAGAUCUGAAUCUGUUGAUGUAUGAUAUGUCAAAAUCUUGAAGCAAUUGUCUUGAAAAGGAUUAGUGAUUAUAUGCGUUGCAUGCUGAAACUUCAAUAAGUAAAUUUAUACUCUGAAGAUCAUAAAGCAAAUGAAGCAAAUAUAUAAAAUAUAGCAAUGAUUCAAUUGUUAUACAGUUUCAAAAGAUCCAUCUAAAUAAUUAAAUCUAUAGAAUAUAGCAAAGUAUCCAUCUUGAAACAGGAAAAAACACAACCCCUUGUGCAAUCAAACUGCACAAUAGUGUUUGAAUGGAAACUAACCAUUCUGAAGCUCAAAUUGAUUGUACUGCCAUGUUUAUAUUGAUUAUUGUGAGCUAUAAUUGAUUAUGUAAGGAUGUUGGUGGCUGAUAAAAAAUUGAAAUGAAGCCUUAGAGUUGAAGGAGAGUUUUGGAAACUUUUACAAAUCUGUUUUGAAUGGGAAAGAAUAUUAAUUUUGUUUUUCUUAUUAUUAGUGGGAAAUCUUUGUUGGAUUUUUUUUUUUUUCUUUUCCUGAAAUUUUCAAUGUCUUUGUAGGGUAACUUCAUCCGAAGAAUCUUUUAUUGCUAUUCUGGAUUUUAAUUGCAGUAUAGGUAGGAUGCCCAAACUCAGACCCAAGUCCCCACUUGUCAGCAUUGUGAUGGACUCCAGCACAAUUAGUAUAGCAGGGGAAGGACAAUGGGAGCCUCUUGGCACCUUGAAUUUGCAUUUGGUCAAGUUUCAGUCAACAAUUUUUGCAGGCUGAUAUUUGACCAUCUGAGCAUGCAUUUGGUUUGUAACACAAGAUAUUGUACUGUUGACCAGCUGAGUAGGUAAUUGGUAAAGAGCACAUCCCUGGUAAUCCCACUGUUUAUUCCUUAUUUUAUGCAAGGCAUUUUCUGUUAGUCCAGGGUCGAGGCUGCUUCUCAUUCCCCUGCUUUUGUUUCCUUGAAAAUGGCUUUGUUCCUAUGGACCAUUCUGCUUUCUUGUAUUAUCAAGUGCAAUCUGCAUUCUUGUAUUAGAAGAAUGAGGACAUUAAGGAACUGAAGCACCACAAUAAGAUGUCAUGUUCCCCUUUAGUUUCUAGAUGUGCCUCAGCUGUUAGUCUCUUUAUGCUAUGCAUAUUCAUAUUGUUCCCACCCUCUUUGGGCCUCUCACUCAGAAAUUUGCUCAUUAUCUGCCAAACUCCUCCAACCCCCAAGAUGAGAAUUUCAGUUUUCUACAUCCUGAAAUCAUAAGGCACUGAGUUAUGCAAACUAGGGGGAAGAGAGCUGUAUAUGGUUAAAUGCUGAAAAGCUGUGCUUGUUUUGGGUAGCAUAACUAGAACUAAAACAAAGCAAAUAGCAUCUUCUUUUCAAUAGCCCCCACUAGUCUUUUCAAGUGUUUACAUACCUACAUUUUGAUUUGCCUUGGCAUUUGAAUGGCAUAACAAAGCUGCUGAUGCUGCCCCUUCAUGACCAUUAACAUAAACCCUUGCGAGCUACACUUGCUAUUCUUUCUGCUAAUUUCUAGUUUCAAAUGCAACAAAAGGUCAAAAUAGGUCUGUAUGAUUUGCUGGAUAUUAGAGAAGCCAUGUAGUUGAUUUGCUCAAUUGUGUCUUUAUCCGUUGAAGAAAUACAGUUUCUAACAAGAUGAAUUAUAUCUUCACGAACUUACAACACUAGAUGAGCCUUAAGAUUUCGAGAACUCCUCUGUUAAGCACUGGAAAUACACUAAUUAAUUGUAUGAACGUAUUUUUUUUUAGAAAUUUGUUAGUUGGGGGGAUCGCAGAUCGAUUAGGAAAAGAUGUUUUCAGCAUUUCUACUGUGCUUUAUUUUUUAAGCUUAUAGAAGUAUUUUAAAGCUACUGGGAUUUUGAACAUAUGAGAGGAGUUUUAGAUUAAAAAUAAAUUAACUAUUUUAACUUAAUAUUUAAAAUUAUUUUUAUUUUAAAUUAUAAUAUUAAGUUUUUUUACCAAUCGCAGUUAAUAUAUUUAAUGACUUAAAUUAAGUCAUUAAACCAUUAAGUUGAUUUACCAAACAAUUCACUAAAUGUCACAAAACCAUACCAAAAACAAGCAUUCCACACUAUGUGUAAUGAGAAAGCAUAAAUUGCCUGAUCAUUAGCUUCCAUACACUCUCAUUGC
rnacentral:lncRNA from 1 species